UGAGUCCUUCCUGGGCAGAAGCUGAUUGUUAGGUGUUGGAAGCCUGGUGGGUCUUUCGUGUUUAUACCUCGGUCACGGCUGGUGCAUGAGAAGGUGAGUUCUUCUACCCAUGUUAAUCCUGAGCGCUACAGGUUUUAUCUUGUUUCCUCUCUGGGUAGAGUUCUUUGCAGAUGCCCUACUCUGCCCCAAGGGUGGAACAGAUUUUCUCUUGAGAGUAUCCCCCAGUGGCAAUGUCCAGACGUGUCCUUUAUUCCUCCUGGCCAAGCUAUUAGGCACUGUCUUUGCAGAACUCAAACCAGGAGAUCAUCGAGGAGCUGGCUGAUGGGUUCAACUACUCCAUCUCCCUAGACAAGGGGCAGAUGCACCGGGACACCAAGAAGGGCCGACAUUGGUCUUGGUGUGAAAAGGAGUCCACACUGUGCCUGGAUGAGGCCUGCACAAUGCGGACGCUCCAGGAAGGCACAAUUCAAAUGUUAGAGUCCCUGGUACCAGCAUACCCAAGUGAAAACAUCUCCUACAUCACCACAUUCCUGGACCCCUACCAGGCCUUCACCAGCUCCCAACAGAUCCUGGGCCAUUUUUUUAAAAGAUACAGACGCUCCUUCCCAUGUUCAGACGUGGAGGAAGGAACAGAAGAACCACUGAAAAGGUGA